rnacentral:lncRNA from 1 species
GUCCCUCCUUCCCCAUGAGCUGUCCUUACACCCUACGGCCCCGACAAACUUACUGAUAUUUCCUAACAAUGACCCACUGUUCUUCCAUCUCUCCUCCUGAUUCUGCAUUGUAAAAUAUAACCCCCCACCCCACUUUCCCAGUAGGCUGGACAAGGGGAAGAGCCAGGAAGGCUAAGCCAAGGUCACUGCAGCAGCUGGGGCAAGAAGGAGCCUGGUCACAUGUGUUCUUCAUUUCUGGUCCCCACACCACUGUUGGUUGUAUGCUAUGCCAGCCAGUCUCCUAGAUUACCUCCUGUAAUUUAGUCCUCACGGCAAUCCUACGUGGUAGGUAUUGACAUCUUUGCUUCACUGAUGGAAAAAACCACAGUCAGAGAAAUCGAGUAACUUGCCAGGUAUCGUGCUAUAGAGAAUGCUAGNNNNNNNNNNNNNNNNNNNNNNNNNNNNNNNNNNNNNNNNNNNNNAGGGCGUUGCCUCUAAGUCGUGUACAUCCUAAGGUUCCAUGUUCUUUCAGUUGCCAAAUUUGUUGGGUGGGAAACACAAUGAUAAAACUCUUCGGUGUUUGCUUGAGGCAGUUACAUCUGUUUUCAGCCAAGAUCUUGAAAGCUUAGUAGCUAACUGAAAAAGAGUAGGUUCUCCCCAAGCUCUGUGGAGUGAAAUCUGUUUUGUUUGGAAACACAGAGGCCAGUAAGUUCUCUGGUCCACUGUUCCAACACGUCAGAUGCAAUUGCUUUCUGACUCUUUCAGUCUGUUAGCAGCUUCAUGACCAAGGUAGUGCUCAAGUUAGGCAGUGUGCAAUCUAAGGAAUUGAACAGAGAUGGGAGCUGGGAGGAACUUUCACAGGAUAUGGGAGAUUUUAAGCAGUUUCUUUGUCACAAACAUAAAAUAAAGAUACUUUCUGACAAACAUGUUGAUUCAGCGUGUGAAUUUGUGAACUUGAUAUCAGCACCUCAAGGGUAAGGUAUCCUAAGGAUGCAUUUUGUGGCGACCUAAUACUAGCUCGCAGUUUAUACCUUGGUUGAAAGCUAGUGUUAAUUUAGGCAGGGAGGGGAGAGGGCCCCUGCAAGGACAGGAGACCAAGAAGCAAAACAGUCACAUUCCACAAUUACAAACAGAAAAUGCAGAGUAAUGAGUGAGAGAAGAUGAGGCAAAGUAGAUGAGGCAGGAUGAACAGGGACGGACAAGCAAGUGCGGGAGUCCAUGAACUGAAGACAUGGAACGCAAGAAGGAAAGACCAAGACACAGGGAGCCGUAGGCAAGAACACCACCCCGUGUUAACAAGGUGCUCUCUAACAUAUGGUGUUAAGACUUUUUCCUAGGUUUCAGUAGAAACUUAAGCCUAGUGUGCAGAGGGCUUUCAUGUGAGUUCUCUUUCUGCUUGCCUGAGAUUAUAUUUGUUCCAUCAGGAGGAAAAUCACUUGAAAGUAGAGACACUAAUAUUUAUCAUUAUCCACAUCAGUUCAUAGUAAACUAUGAGAAUCAGAGCAAAGUGAA